rnacentral:misc_RNA from 1 species
GUGCAUCCAAAUGUAAUAGAACUAAGGAAAUUGAGUUAGGUGAAGAUACAAAAUGAUGUCAGUAAAAAUUAAGCACCCAGCCGAAAAGCACUAACACAGGGCAAUAAGAGUUCACAUACACAGCGACUAGUUUCUAACCACAGCAUGCCACUAAAUUACUGUUAUGAGAAAAUAUAAUAUGUGAAAUUGAUUUUUCCAAUUAUAGGUGCAAUGGACAACUCAGAAUAUCUUCCUUUAACAUUGGUCAUAUUUCUUCACAGCUUCAGCAAUCAUCUUUACAAGUAGGAAAACCACCAGAAUGUUGUGCAGCCGAUCUUUUUGACUGGGAUGUAGAGCUAUUUUUAUUCGGUUGUAUUAUUAUAUACUGCAACAAACUGUGAAGUGGUUGUUACAACAAAUGUUGGGGAGGGGAAGCUAGGACAAACUCAUAUGCAAUUUUAGGGUCAGAUGGAUAAAACCAAAAUAUGUAGGAGUAUCUUCAUUCGAUUUCCCUUGCACACAGUAUUGCUCCAGUGCCAUGAGUACAUUGUCCUCACUAAAGUAUUACAGUGGUGGACUUGGAUUGUCUAUUUAUUAUUUAAUUACUGCUAAAUAACAACACGUUUUUAAUUAGCAUAAACGUUAUAUCACAGGGUUGGCUUGGAGGCAAAGUUGGGAGGUUUCCUCCAGCAUGACCAGGUUCGGUUCCCUUCACCAAAAAGGUUUUAAAUAAUGGUAUCAUAAGUAUUGCAGUACUGGACUCUGUUAGACCAUACACCCAGAACUAAA